UUUGAAGAGUUUACCCCUCGUAAUUGUGCCACACAUUUAAGUCACAUUGCUGAUCUUAAUGGACCUUUUCAUAACCAUAUAUCUACUACCUACGGGUUGAAUCAAGAUUCUUUUUUAAAUGAGCUGAAGUAUUUUCAUGUCACAGAUGGACUUGCCUGCUCCCGAUAUCAUGCAUGAUGUACUUGAAGGAGCCUUAGAGUAUGAACUAAAAGAGCUACUUAAAUAUGUUACAAUGGAAAUGCGAUUAAUGUCAUGUGAUGAACAUAAUAACAUUAUUGAUGGGUUUCCUUAUGGGUAUACUGAUUCAAAAAAUAAGGCAUCUAAUAUUUCACAGAAGUCUUUACUAUCUAUUGAUCACAAUCUUAAGCAAAAUGCUACUCAAAUAUGGUAUCUUGCACGAUUACUGCCUUUAAUGAUUGGGGAGCAUAUUCCAGUGGACAAUGAUAAUUGGAAUAAUUUUAUGCUACUUGUUACAAUUGUGGAUUACAUCUUUGCACCUCUGACAUCAGAUGAAAUUUCAUCUUAUGUUGCCAUGUUGCUGAAGGAACAUCAUGAGCGUUUUACUGAGCUGUACCCAAAUUCACCUAUCAUCCCCAAAAUGCAUUAUAUGAUACAUUUACCUGAAUGGAUGAGAAGGUAUGUAUGUUUUCUUUAUUGUCUGUUAUGCAUUUAACAAUCAUAUUUUAAACAGAUAUGGACCUCCAUCACGCUAUUGGUGCAUGCGGUUUGAGGCUAAACAUAAAUAUUUCAAAAAUUUGACACAUAUCAUGAAGAAUUUUAAAAAUGUACCAAAGUCACUAGCUGCAAGACAUCAGGCUAGAAUGUGCUAUCAACUAUCAGGAUCAAACCCUUUUAAAAAUCUAAAUAUUGGAACUGUAAAGAAAAUGUUAUUUCUUGGUGAUUAUGCACAUGCUGAUGUUAUUAAAACUAAGGAUUCAUAUCUCACAUUUGAAACAUCACUAAAUAUUGUUUCAUGGAUUGAGAUUGAUGGAAGCAAUUACAAGCAAGGAGCUGUAGUAAUCUUAGAAAGUGAUCUAUUGCCACUUUUUGCCAUUAUUGAAGAUAUUGUUCUCUAUAAUUCCACUACUGUUGUAUUUGUGGUCCAAAAACUAGUGACAGAUUGCUUUAAU
rnacentral:lncRNA from 1 species